UACAGAGGUGGCAAGCGUUGUUCGGAAUUACUGGGCGUAAAGGGCGCGUAGGCGGCCUACUAAGUCAGACGUUGAAAUCCCCCGGCUUAACCUGGGAACUGCGUCUGAUACUGGAAGCUUGAGGAUGGAGAGGAUGUAGAAUUCAGGUGUAGCGGUGAAAUGCGUAGAUAUCUGGAGGAAUACCGGUGGCGAAGGCGGCAUCCUGGACCAUUACUGACGCUGAGGCGCGAAAGCUAGGGAGCAAACGGG
rnacentral:rRNA from 1 species